UGGGGAAUAUUGGACAAUGGGCGAAAGCCUGAUCCAGCAAUGCCGCGUGAGUGAUGAAGGCCUUAGGGUUGUAAAGCUCUUUUACCCGGGAUGAUAAUGACAGUACCGGGAGAAUAAGCCCCGGCUAACUCCGUGCCAGCAGCCGCGGUAAUACGGAGGGGGCUAGCGUUGUUCGGAAUUACUGGGCGUAAAGCGCGCGUAGGCGGCUUUGUAAGUUAGAGGUGAAAGCCCGGAGCUCAACUCCGGAACUGCCUUUAAGACUGCAUCGCUAGAAUUGUGGAGAGGUAAGUGGAAUUCCGAGUGUAGAGGUGAAAUUCGUAGAUAUUCGGAAGAACACCAGUGGCGAAGGCGACUUACUGGACACAUAUUGACGCUGAGGUGCGAAAGCGUGGGGAGCAAACAGG
rnacentral:rRNA from 2 species